rnacentral:rRNA from 1 species
UGGGGAAUAUUGCACAAUGGGGGAAACCCUGAUGCAGCGACGCCGCGUGAGCGAUGAAGGCUUUCGAGUCGUAAAGCUCUGUCCUAUGGGAAGAUAAUGACGGUACCAUAGAAGAAAGCCCCGGCUAAUUACGUGCCAGCAGCCGCGGUAAUACGUAAGGGGCGAGCGUUGUCCGGAAUUAUUGGGCGUAAAGAGUGCGUAGGCGGCAAAUUAAGCCUGAUGUGAAAGCCCCCGGCUCAACCGGGGAGGGUCAUUGGAAACUGGUUGACUUGAGUGCAGAAGAGGAGAGUGGAAUUCCAUGUGUAGCGGUGAAAUGCGUAGAUAUAUGGAGGAACACCAGUGGCGAAGGCGACUCUCUGGUCUGUAACUGACGCUGAGGCUCGAAAGCGUGGGUAGCAAACAGG